AUGUCCAAUCCACGCGUAGGCUCCGGCGGCCAGAUCGCCGACGACGUCCUCCGCGAGGUCUUCGCGCGCCUGCCCGACGUCCAGGACCUCCUCCGCUGCGCCGUCACCUGCUGGCGAUGGCGCCGCCUCAUCACCGACCCGGCGGAGAACGCCCACCGCCCGUCCAUGCUAGCUGGGAUCUUCACCCAAAACAUAUGGCUUGAUCGCGACAAAGUUGAGCCGUUGAAGGGAAAACCACGAAGCCCUCCGAAGUUCCUAAGCCUUCAGGCCGGUUCGGCGCAUGCCAACCUGACGUCGUUUGUUGCCGAUGACGAUGGGCUCUUCAACGACGCGAGGCCAUUGGCGUCGCGCCGUGGCUUUCUCCUCCUAGGCAUCAUGUUGCCUGCCAACACAGAUCAUCGUCACAAGCUUCGUCUGGCGGUGUGCCGCCCACUGAUUGACAACCGUACGCAUCUCCUCCCAUCGCCUCCAAUCGACCUACCUGGAAUCUCUGAUAGUCCAACCGGCUGGGCAAUUCUCACCAGCGCAGACCACACCGCCUUGAAAUAUCAGGGUUGGCAAGUGCUAGUGACGUACAGGGGUUAUGGUGUUGUGUUCGCCUAUAUGUACUACCCAGCCACACGGAGUUGGAGCGUGCCCAUCAAGUACCAGCGAGACCUCACUAGGUGUGGUCCCGGUGCUGGUGUCGUCGCCCGUGGCGUUGUGCACUGGUUAUACAGGGACUACACAGAGCUCUACACCCUCAACAUAAGUGCUACCAUGAAACAAGUCUCUUUGACAAAGAUCCCGAUCAAAAUCGACGCCGGUUUGCCAUAUCAACGACCUCCUCUGCUGUGUAUCACCGGGGAAGGAACGCUUUCGCUUUUUAAUACACAAGAUGAUGGUGUGCCGGAGCUUUGGACCAAACAAAAACAAGACGAUCGUGAUCAUCACAUAGGUGAGGGGGAGGGUCGUUGGCUACACUCUUACCUGGCGAAUCUCCGGACCGAGAGACCAGACAUUGCCUUUUUUGCUGAGAGCAAAGGUGCUUUACUCAUCGAGCAAGGUGGCGCCUUAUUCAUUUUUGACCUCAAGAGUAGGGAGAAGGUGCGGGUUACCCUCAAGUGCGAUGAAAUUGACCAGGCCACCAGGUGGUUCCCAGCAAUACUAUUGCAGUUGUAG
rnacentral:rRNA from 1 species